rnacentral:rRNA from 1 species
CCCUCGUGAGGGUGCCUGACGGUACUGUAGGAAUAAGCACCGGCUAACUCCGUGCCAGCAGCCGCGGUAAUACGGAGGGUGCGAGCGUUAUCCGGAUUUAUUGGGUUUAAAGGGUCCGUAAGGCGGAUUAAUAAGUCAGUGGUGAAAUCCCAUCGCUUAACGAUGGAACUGCCAUUGAUACUGUUAGUCUUGAAUGAGGGUGCAGUGGUUGGAAGUGUGUAGUGUAGCGGUGAAAUGCAUAGAUAUUACACAGAACACCGAUUGCGAAGGCAGAUCACUAACCCUAAAUUGACGCUGAGGGACGAAAGCGUGGGGAGCGAACAGGAUUAGAUACCCUGGUAG